UCCAACUCCUGACCUCAUGAUCCCCCCGCCUCAGCCUCCCAAAGUGCUGGGAUUACAAGCGUGAGCCACCGCGACCCGCCAACACUCUUGACAACAGUGCUGUGCUAAGAACUUGGGGGACUUCAAAAAGUUCACCAGUUCCUGUGUCCAUGGGUGAAAAGAUUUUCUACAUCUUUCCUUGACUAGAAACAGAAGUCCUGAAACAAGAAUAUAACGUCAGGAGGCCAGAGGCUUUGUCCUGCCUAAUGUGUUAUUUCCACACUGAAUAAAAGCACCUGAGUCCUGCAUUUUAAAAAGGUUGUACAUCUAGCAAUACCUAACAAAAUAGGAAAUCAACUUGUAUACCAUCUGUUUGAAUCAGGCUUAAGUUGAAGAUAUCUGAAACUACUCUGGCUAUUUAAAGCAGAAAAGGAUUUAAUACAGGAAUUAAGUUCAUACAAAUUUAUUGGAAGGCCGGGAUAACAGGAUCCAGUACCUCAGAAGUAACCCACCCGGAGAAUUUCUACUUCUGUUGUAAUUAAGAAUCUGUAGUACUGUCACUGCAACCAUACGCUCUAGAAAUAUAUUGCUUUAGGUAUGCAACCCAUAGAUUAGAAAACUAUGUACUGUUGACUCCAGAGCCACAUUACAUCUGUUAUAUUGGCACAAGCAAAAAUGGAUGCCUGGAGGCCUUUCAAUAUUCAGAAAUUAAUUAUUGGGCACUGGGAUCUGUGAAAAUGCUGUUGUAGAAAAAUCCAGGGCCCCUGUGAUUAUGCUGACCAACAGAAACGGUAGACCUGUGGCUUUCAAACUACCCUCCUUUCAAAUAUCACGUUACUAUAUUUUAUUGUCCAAACCUAAACCACAUUCUGUGUUCAUCUGCAAAAGAGACUCAGAAAUGUGGAUUUUAGCUUAUUAGCAUCAAAAGUGUAGGAAAGCUUAGUAUUGAUGGUGGUGUGGACAGUGAGCACAAAUCCACCAGAACUCCCACUAUUCUUCUGUUUGUCCAUUUCCUGACCAUUCAUGCUUCUCUUCCUGUACAUACAUUUCCAAACAAUAUUAUCUACAACAAUCAAUUUUCACCCAAUCCAAUGCAAUGAUUCUCCCAUACAAAUAAAACCUACUUAUACUGUUCCCAAAAGAAGCCAAGCUUCUAUUAGUCAUAGACUCCUCUGGAUGACGUCAGUUCCUCUUCCAGUGCACUUAUCUUCCCGUCUACAUAUUUAAUAAAGUUAUCAAAAAACAACACAUACUAUGAAGUGGGAGAAUGGAAUAUAAAAAAGGAAAUAUGUCUACAUAGAAUAAAAUACAUAAAGAAAAAGGAAGUAAAUAUGGCAUUUGUUUAUCUGAAUGGUCAUAAGAUGAUGAUUGGUAUUCACAGCAUCCUUUUUCUACUCUGAAUUUCAUGCUCCUGUUAUAUUCUUAGCUCUAUGGCAUUAGAUGGUGAGUGGGUUAAAGCCAAUCUUCAUUCUUUAUGGGUCUGAGCCACUGGUGGCCUUGGCUAUCUUGAACUGCUGAAAUUGUACAUGAAUUUUUAACUCUGGACAUGGUAAUUUGAUGACACAUCCCAACAAGUCCUGUAAAACACAGAUUCUUACAAGCUGCCUGACACACACUUUAAUACCAACCCUGAAUCCCCUUAAAACCAAGAUCAAUCUUCUAUCCAACAGAGUAACCUCUUUUUUUCUCCUCUUUUUUAAAAAAAGUUUAUGGUCAUAAGGACACCCAAAUAGCCUGUUAGUAGUUUUAACUUCCAGUUGUAGGAACCAGUGUGCUAUCUUGUGGAAAUAUUACUUUCUUGGAAAUUAUAGCCUCUAAAUCAAAAGAGGUCAAUGUUGUGGGAUGAAGAAGGAAAUUUUUGCAAAAGAACACACCCUCA
rnacentral:lncRNA from 1 species